AUGGAGAUUUUGUGCGGUCAGAGAUUCAUACAGACACAAAGGGGCCCCUAUUUUCAAGCAGGAAAGUCGUUUCAAUCCAAUCCAUUCUUGGGGUCCGAAAAAGACACUGGAUAUAUUAGUGACUUUGCACGACAAAGCGUUCUUCGAGGGCAUGGAAUGUACCAUUUUUUGGUCAGAAUCUUUACAGUAAUGUCUAUGUUGGAUUCUCCGGUCGAAAUACGGGAAAACUCCAUCAAAUUCUUUAUGGAAAUGGAGUUUUCCGAAUUCUCCCCGGAACUAGAAGAUCAUUUCAAGAUCUUCGAGCAUAUUCGAUGGUUCAAUGUGACUAUUGUCACUUCGGCCAAUACAAAAGAUGAGACUUCACUACUGUGGAGCGGCUUUUUGCUAAAAGAUGAGGGGGAAACUAAGUAA
rnacentral:rRNA from 1 species